CCCCCAGGGUACAGGGCAGGUGGGUCCCGAGGCGGCUGGCUGGUGCAGGGGGAAAACCGGGCCAAGGAAGUGGAGAGUCAGCGCUCCCUAUCUGCCACCAGGAGGAAGUCUCAAGGGCUCCCGGGAGCGGGGCUUGGUGUCCCUGUGCUGUGGGCGUUGCCUCGCCCUGCCCUGCCUGGGCCGUUACCAGGAGGGUGUUUGCUGUGGGGGAGCACAGGGUUUUCCACCAGGUGAAGGACCUGGACCGCAAUCCCUGGAGGUGGUCACAGCAGCUCACCCAGUGACUGAAGCCAUAACGAGAUGAGGACUCUGAGGCCCAGGGAGGUGAAGAACCGCGUCCAAGGUCACGGAGGAAGUGCCGGAGGCUGGAUUCGGAUCCUCCUGGGCUGGCUCGACAGCUAUACCCUGCACGCUGGCCUCUGCUGCAGCAGCUCCUGAGCACUGAGGGGUGGGGGCAGUUCUGCCAACACAAAAUGGGGCGUACUGAGCACCCUUCUCCUCCUUUGGGGACAGGUUGUCCCAAAAGCAAUGGUCGGCUCUGGGAGGGUUUUCAGCGGAGUCAGGACAGACCCUAAGACUGGGUGGGGAGAAGCGGUUUGCACAGAAGGGGUUCUCUGGAAGAGAAGGGUUGCACAGCCAGCACUGCCUGCUUUCCUGCAACCCACCCAUCCUGAUUUCUCUUAGGUAGCAGAGGGGCACUGGGACCGGGGGGUGGCCCCAUUGUUUUGGGGACUCUCCUACAGUGGCCCAGAAGCCUGUGCAGCAGCCUUGUGCCCAGCAAAGGGGAGGCAGCGAGUCUUCCGGCCUGCCCCUUCCCUCGGGGACCUGCAGACAGCGCUCCAGAAUCGCGCCCGUCUGGGGACACAUCGCGCCAUGGAACAUGAGCCUGUAAUGUGCAGCUAACGUUCUGCGGACAGUUACACAGCAGCACCACCGCAGGGUCGGUGACACAGCGCGGGACCCCGCCCCCUCCCCGCUGCCCCUCUUACACAUGCGCAGUGCCCUGCGUGCUGUGUCCAGGGCCCUUAGGAAAUCAGAAAGGGGCCCCGGGGGCCAGUCCUAGGCAGCCUGGAGGAGCCAGUCUCCUCCUGCAGCACGAGCUUAAGGACCAGGGAACCCCAUGGCUGUCAGAUGGAGACCCGUGGCAGUGAACCCGCAGUUGUAGUCGCCUACAGCCGACACACCUGGGUUUAAUUCUGAUUCUGCUCCCCCUCCUAAUAGUUCCUGUUUACGAACUGCUUUGCACAGGCACCCUGUCUAACCUUGAGAACAACCCGGGCGGGAAGGUGUUUCCCCACCGCGUGACUGAGGAAACAGAGGCCGGCUGUAGAGCUCCCAUGGCAGACUGGCGUUCAGACUGCUCUGAGUAGUUCCAAAGCUCUCAACCCCCUGCCAGGGCCGAAGGCAACCCUCGAGUCCUCGGAACCCCAUUUCCUCCGCCGUAAAAAGAUGGACAGUGUUUCCCCGCUUCCCUGAGCUUCGAGAAGGUUCAGCAUUGACAGAGGGCCAGGCACAGGGCUUGAACAGGGUUGUAUUAGUUUGGGGUUUUCCAGAGAAACGGAACCAAGAGGAUGUGUAUACAUAUAGAAAGAGUGAGAGAGAUUUAGUUCAAGGAAUUGGCUCAUGCAAUCGUGGAGGCUUGGCGAGUCUGAAUCCUGAUGGGGGAAGGCUGGCAGACUGGAUGCUCGGAAGAAAUGCAGUUUGAGUCUAAAGGUGGUCUGCUGGCAGGAUUUCCUCUUGCUCUGAGGAGGUCAGCCCUUUUGGUCUGUUAAGGCCUUCAACUGAUUAGAUGAGGCCCACCCACAAUAGGAAGGGCAAUCUGCUUUAGUCAAAAUCCACCCAUUUAAAUGUUACUCUCAUCCAAAAAACUUCUUCACAGAAACAUCCAGAAUGCUGUUUGACCACAUAUCUGGGCACAGUGGCACAGCCAAGUUGACACAUAAAAUCAACCAUCCCAACAGUGAACAUCUCCCCUGUAGCAGCCAUUCUAGAUGAAGGUGCUGCCCCCUGCUGUCAGCAUCCACGGGUCUUCAUCCUGGAGUGUGGUACCCAGGGCUGGUGUCCAUCUGUGGAUGGUGGAACACUGCGCCUCCCUGAGAUCCGGUCCAGCCUCCGUGAAGCAGGAAUAAGGACCCCAGCCGCACAGAGCUGCGGGGAGCAUGUGCACCGGGGGAAGUAAAGCGCCUCGCUGGGCCCAGCCUGGCACACAGCGAGCGCAAGCGCCUUCCCUCCCCGCCCUUGCUGGAGAGAGCAGCACGUCCAA